GAUGAACGCUGGCGGCGUGCUUAACACAUGCAAGUCGAACGGAAAGGCUCCUGCUUGCAGGGGUACUCGAGUGGCGAACGGGUGAGUAACACGUGGGUGAUCUGCCCUGCACUUUGGGAUAAGCCUGGGAAACUGGGUCUAAUACCGGAUAGGACGAUGGUUUGGAUGCCAUUGUGGAAAGUUUUUUCGGUGUGGGAUGAGCUCGCGGCCUAUCAGCUUGUUGGUGGGGUAAUGGCCUACCAAGGCGUCGACGGGUAGCCGGCCUGAGAGGGUGUACGGCCACAUUGGGACUGAGAUACGGCCCAGACUCCUACGGGAGGCAGCAGUGGGGAAUAUUGCACAAUGGGCGCAAGCCUGAUGCAGCGACGCCGCGUGGGGGAUGACGGCCUUCGGGUUGUAAACUCCUUUCGCUAGGGACGAAGCGCAAGUGACGGUACCUGGAGAAGAAGCACCGGCUAACUACGUG
rnacentral:rRNA from 1 species